AGUGAACGCUGGCGGUAGGCCUAACACAUGCAAGUCGAACGGCAGCACAGUAAGAGCUUGCUCUUACGGGUGGCGAGUGGCGGACGGGUGAGGAAUACAUCGGAAUCUACUUUUUCGUGGGGGAUAACGUAGGGAAACUUACGCUAAUACCGCAUACGACCUACGGGUGAAAGCAGGGGAUCUUCGGACCUUGCGCGAUUGAAUGAGCCGAUGCCGGAUUAGCUAGUUGGCGGGGUAAAGACCCACCAAGGCGACGAUCCGUAGCUGGUCUGUGAGGAUGGUCAGCCACACUAGAACGGGAACACGGUCCAGGCUCCUACGGGAGGCAGCAGUGGGGAAUAUUGGACAAUGGGCGGAAGCCUGAUCCAGCCGUACCGCGUGGGUGAAGAAGGCCUUCGGGUUGUGAAGCCCUUUUGUUGGGAAAGAAAAGCAGCAAGUUAAUACCCCGCUGUUCUGACGGUACCCGAAGAAUAAGCACCGGCUAACUUCGUG
rnacentral:rRNA from 1 species